AAAAUGAGCCUGGUGAUCUGUUUCCAAUAGACAGGAGUCGUUCAUUUCAAUUGGAGAACUAUAUCCAACUGGAAUGCUUGCAUCUCAUCAAUGGUUUUAAAUCUCUUGUUCCAUUUAGAAUCCUUUCUAUUUUACAGUUGUUUCUCACUGGUGCCUGUAGUAACAUCAGGUAUUUCUCAGUUUUGAGAAUGAACUAUUUGUUUCUUUAAACACAGGACCCCACACCUUGGAUUUCACAGCCUAUUGAAAUCAAGGUCAACUGGAAACUAAUACUCUGCUUCCAUUCUUCUUUUUGUGCCUUCAGAUUUCAACUGAGAGGACAGCCCCAACUACAAUGUCUUCUCCCCAACUCCAUACCAUGAAGAGGAGAACCCUUAACCACCAGCGACAGAGACAGUAUUGAGCACUAGCACAUGGCCUGGAGUUUUUGUAAAGUGAAUACAUUUUUGAAAGAAGGAAAAGAAACAAAAAGGAAGAAAAAGAAAGAAAGAAAGCAAGAAAGCAAUGUUCUUCAUAAAUGAUACAUUAUAUAUAUAUUUCUGUUUUUAUAGACUAUUUUCCAUUUAUUUCUUUAAAAAAUCUUUAAUUGUAGUUGGCAUGUAGUAUAUUACUUUCAGGUGUACAGCAUAGUGAUUCAACGAUUACAUCCAUUACGAAAUGCUCACUGUGAUAAGUCUAGUUACCAUCUUCACCUUACAAAGGUAUUACGAUAUUACGGACUGUAUUUCUGAUACUGUACUUUUCUUUCCUAUAAUUUAUUUUAUAACUGGAAAUUUUUACCUUUUUAUCCCUUUCACCUGUUUCACCCAUCCUGCCACCUGCCCUCCUCAUUGGCAAUAACCAAUUCUCCGUAUUUAUGUCUGUUUCUGUUUGUUUUGUUUUUAAAUUCCACACAUAAGUGAAAUCAUAUGGUAUUUGCCUUUCUCUGUUUGACUUAUUUCACUUAGCAUAAUCCCCUGUAGGUCCAAUGAUACACUAUAGUUAAAUUUUUAGACAAGCAUUGUGAUAAUUUUUAAAAAAACAACGUUUGAGGUUAAAUACCUACUUCUAAUCAGACUGAUGGCCAUUCACAAAUCCAAGUUUGCUUGAUUAAACCUUGAUUCAGGAAACAAACAUCUCAGUUCCAGACUUCGGUUUCAAUGCCAUCAGGGGUUAUAAAAUAAAGAUAGCUGCCCCCACUAUCACUUACAGAAGAUGACCCACAUAGAUAGCUAAGAACUGAAUCAAAUCUAUUCUGACCAAGAGAAAAAUGCAAAAAUCUUUAGAAAGACAAGUCAACAAGCUGGGUCUCAGUAACACACAGGUAAGAGGGAAACAGGUGCUAUUCUUUCUUUCUUUCUUUCUUUCUUUCUUUCUUUCUUUCUUUCUUCUUUCUCUUUCUUCUUUCUUUAUAUUUUUCUUUCUUUCUUUCGAAAAAGGAGCUAUUUCCAAGAUAUUUGGCAUUUUGACAGUUCUUCACCUGGGCAUAAAAAUUACUUCCUAUUUACAAAGUACAUGGAGAAGACAAUAUAAUGGAGUGGUCACACCCAGGGUUCUAGAGCCAGAAUGCCAGGCUAACAGGCCAGCUUUACCAUUCACCACUCUCAUGACUUCACCUGUCUCUGUCGUUUCCUCAUUAGUAAAAUAGAAUAAUUGUAACCUCCCUCAUGGGAGUAUAGGGACAUUCUAUGAACACAUAUGGAAUGCUUACCGCCAUGCCUGGCAUACAGUAGGUAGGCGUAAUACGUGUUAGCUAUUAUAAUGAUCCACUUACACUACUCUUCCAGGUUGUGUGUGUGUGUGUGUGUGUGUGAGAGAGAGAGAGAGAGAGAGAGAGAGAGAGAGAGAGAAAUGAAGAAGUGACUGAAAGUUUUUCAAAUGCUUUCUAGUACCUAUAGGGAAAAGUUGUUUUUCUUUUUUGACCUAUAAGCAUGGUCAAUUUAUUUUUCUCUAAAGGCUUUAUUUAUUUAUUUAUUUGAGAGAGAGAGAGAGAGAGAGAGAGAGAUCAUGAGCAGGGAAGAGAGACAAGCACACUCCCUGCUGAGCAGGGAGCCCGUUGUGGGACUUGAUCCCAGGACCCCUGAUCAUGACCUGGGCUGAAGGCAGACACUUAACCAAUUGAGCCACCUGGGUGCCCCUAAACAUAGUCAAUCUACAAAGAAAAGUAUUAAAUAACUUUUCAUUUCUGUAAUGGUAGGACUUGUUCUUGGCGUUUUAUUAUUUUUUAAAUACACUGUACUGUUUUUAUUUUAUUACUUCAUUUUAUUUUGCCAAUGUUUUAUUCAGGAUAUUUUCAUCAGGGCACUUACAGGAUUAAUACUCCUGUUAUUUUUUUCUGCGAUAUCUUGCUCAAGUUUUGAAUUGAUUCAUGGUGAUUUGUAAAACAACAAAAAUGGAAACAAGUUAGGACAUCGGUUUUGCUUUCUGUCCUGGAACCAUUUAAUAGCAAAGCUUAACUAUUUCUUGAAAUGGAGAAAAAUUACACUUGUGACAACUUUGAGGUAAGAGUUUCCUUAGAGGAUAAUUAUUAGAGAAACUUAUUAUUUCUUCCAAGAUUAUUGGCUUAUUCUAUUAACUCUCUUAAUCAUUCUUUUAAUAAUUCUAAUAACUCUCUUAUAAAAUUCUCUUAAUUUUGAUAAUAUAUAUUCAAAUUGAAAAAUCACUCCAGAUCACCUGUUUCAAAUCAGCAUAGAACAUUCAAACUAUUUUUACUUUCACUUGUGUGUGUCGUUAUUUCCACAUUCUCAUUUUGUAUAUCAAUAAUGUUUCUGUUUUUUUAUUAGAUGAGCUCACAUUUUUCUACUUCAACAUUUGCCAAAGACCUAUCUACUGUAUUUAUGAAUUUACAGUUUUUUCUAUUUUCAUGGACACUUUUAUGUUUUUAGCUGUUUUUUCCCCCUUCUGACUUAAUUCUGCAUAUUUGCAUUUUUAAAGAAACUUUUUGAGUUGAUGGCUUACUACACUUGUCUUCUUUAUUUUGUUAAGAAUGUGAUUUACAGCUCUGGUCUGUAACUCCUGGACCUCCUUCCAGCAUGCUCCCUGUCCUGGGAGGCUGACUAUGAGGUCUACAGCCCAGGUUCCACCAGAAGGGGUUCCUGAGAUGUCAGGUGUUGGGACAGAUAUGGAGGGAGGGGGAGGUGGAUGAGGUCAGGGUCUUCAUCGUCCUGGCUCCCUUACUGCCGGGUUGCCUUGAGCUCCUGGGUCAGUAUCUGUAUUUCCUGCACCCCUCCAUUUAGUGGCCAGCUCAGUACCUCUGUAUUCCUGAGUUCCAGGAAAGGAAGCAGAGGUGGAAAUAGUUUGGCUGCAUACUAUCUCUGAUAGUUUUCCUGGACCUCACUUUUGUAAACAGUCUAUGAAUAAAU